AAAUGAAUUUGAAUUACAUUGAGAAAAACACGCCAAUACAAAUGACAGAACUCAGUUCAUGACUCAGGUGGGACAUCAUUGUGGGCCACCACACUGAAAAUCGCCUCUGGUGGUGGUGUCCACCAAAAAUGGAUAUUGAUGUCAUCAAUGGAUUCGUCUCCUUAAGCUUUCUCAGAAUCCCCCCUCCAUUUUACAAGAUUCGAGCCCUAAGCCAAUAACCGCACUAGAAAUCCUCAAGAACCCUAACUACCUUAACUUAAAUUAAAUGCUUAUUAUGAGGAUUCAAAGCCCAUGGGAUUGGGGCUUUGAAUCCCCUCCCAAUUAUUUACAUCAUGAUAACAAGAAAAUGAUGAAAAUGGAAGGUUUCAGAAGUACCUUGUCGGAGAAGAAGAAUUUGAUGACAGCGACGAUGAACUUCCAGGUUCAUUACUUGGUCUUAUGGCAUGUGGAUGCUUGCUGCAAGUUUGGUUGCAGUUGAUACAUUGCAAGGUCUUUGUGCUAGCACUGUAGUAGGAUUUGUCAUGACUUUAGUGUGUUGCAAGUCUUGGUCAUGGUGUUGGUUUGGGAUAUUAAUGGUAUGAUGUGAUGUAUUUGUUUUAGGUUAUGCUUGAAAUUUGGAAUGUUUGUUGCAUUGAAUGUUUGGCACAUUGCAGGUUUGCACUUGGCUUCAUAUUAUGUGCAAGAUGUUUGAUGCAUUGACAUUGUUUUAUGGAUGAGUUGUGUAGCAGGUAUGACGAUUUGGCUCAUGGCUGCAGUAGGUCUGUAUUAUGGUUUUACAUAUGGGUUUAAGACCAUGCAACAGGUGUUUCAAGCAUGCUGUAGUACUUGCAUUAUCAUGGUUACAUUUGGUUUAUUGAUGCUCUGUAAUGUGCUUUACUACAGGAUUGCAAGUUCUGGCUGUAGCAGAAUUUAGUUGGUUCUUGCACAUGUGAUACUGAAUUUUGGACAUGGCAUGCUCUUGUUUGUUAGUAAUUCAUGGUGGAAAGUACAUAUCCAUUUUAGCCUUAGGUUACAAUUUUAAGGCAUUGGCAAUAGGUAAAAUGGACAAGGCAUGCCUUGAAGAAAAAGGGAUUGCUUGUUCUUGAAGCAACAUUAGUCAUGAAGUUGAAAUGGAAGAUAUGCCAAUAAGGAAUCAACAUGAAUACAAUAGGAUUAGGCUUAGAGAAAAUGUGAGUUGACUCUAGUCAACAUAGACCAAAAAGUCAAAUGUUGACCAAAGUCAACCUUUGGUCAAAGUGCCAUUUCUUUUUUGUAAUUUUUGUAUAUUUGAACAUUCUUAUGAUUUGUAAUGAAUGAAUUUUGGUUUAUAUGAAGAAAAUUGAUAUUGAAUGAAUGAAUUCAGUAUUUGAAUUGAA